rnacentral:lncRNA from 1 species
UUUUUUUUAUCCUUUUCCCCCUUUUAUGGUUUCUUAAUAACUUUCUGAAGUUUUUGUUGUUAAUUAUCUGUUCAGUGCCUAAAAAGUUGUUUCAUAAGUUCAAAUCAGUUGCCCAGAAUUGAUGCUUAAAGCAGGUUCAAAGAUAAACUAGAGAAAGUACAAACGAUACAAAAGAGAAAUGUUCUCUCUAACCUUACGACCACACAUGGUUGCUACAUAUAUAAAUGCAGUCUGUUCCUAAAUGUUUUGCUACUUGCAUAUGCUUCAGGUACCUAACCGUUUUUUGUUGUUCUUGCAAUGCAGGUUGUUUCUCUUGACCAUAAAUUUGCGGAGUAUUCAAAGUCAGAGUCAAUAACUGCCGAGAGGAAAAAGGAGAUUGAUGAUUUAGUUGCUUCCACGAGUGUUCUCCCGAAAGCCCCUUGGGAUGAGGGAGUCUGCAAAGUAUGUGGCAUUGAUAAAGAUGACGACAGCGUACUGUUGUGUGAUACUUGUGAUGCUGAGUAUCAUACUUACUGUUUGAUUCCUCCUCUUGCAAGGAUCCCAAAGGGAAAUUGGUAUUGUCCAUCUUGUGUUGUUGGGAAAAACAUGGUUCAAGAUGCGACAGGACAUGCUCAGGUCAUUAGCCGACGCCGUGGUAAAAAUUGUCAGGGAGAAGUUACACGCAUUUACUUGGAGUCACUCACGCAUUUAGCUUCUAAAAUGGAAGAGAGCGAGUACUGGGAAUUCCAUGUGGAUGAGGUUUGCUUAUUCAACCUUUACACUUUUUUCUCUAGUCGUUCUACAAUUUCAGGAUCAUUUGAUGAAUUUUUUUGUCUAACUUUAUAGGUAACGGUUUCAUUUUGUUUGCAGAGAACCUUCCUGCUGAAAUUCUUAUGUGACGAGUUGCUUAAUUUAUCCGUUACUCAUCAACACAUUGAUAAUUGUUCUGAGACAUCGAUCGAGUUGCAGCAGAAACUGCGUUCCUUAUCUGUAGAGUGGAAGAAUCUCAAGUCUAGAGAAGAGUUCUUGGUUGCAAGAGCUGCAAAGGUUGAUGUCAGCCUUAGGGAGGAUUGCAUAAAGGAAGGGAUUUCUGCUUCAGUUGAAAAUCAAGAAAAAUGUCUUGGUCAAGCACAUGCUUUGAGUGGCAGGUCCAACUACGUCAAUGUAGUCUCUGAUGAUAUGCCAGGAUCAGAGUGUUCCCGAGGGUUUGAUCAACUCGAGUCUGUCAGUAAUGCAGACAAUAGUCAACAUUCUGCACGUGCUGAAGUGAAGGACAAAGAUGCCUAUCCUGCUGUUGACAAGACUAAAGCAGAAGGAGAUUUCAUUCUGAAUAUGCAUUCUGAGAAAAUUGAUAGCUCCUUCGGACAUACUGAGUUGACUUCAUCAAAUUCUUUACCCCAUGAAGCCAAUGGCUCUACUAGAGAAAUCGGUGGCCUUGAUCUACAACAGGUGGAUAUGGAAAGAGUUGUCUCCCCUUUUCAGCCUUCAGAUCAAGAAGGACUUUGUAUCCCUUCUGAAGUCAGGAGCAAUUUUGUGGCUCAACGGUUGUCACCUACGAUAAUUGAAUCACACUCCUACAACCUUGAGCUCAAAGCUCUAAGAAGUGACUUGUCACUUUUGUCCGACUCUAUUACUGCCGUAGAGUCGGACCUUGCAAAGCUUUCUGUGCGCAGGGAGUUUUUAGGAGUGGAUUCUUGGGGUGGCCUGUACUGGGCUUCAGCCAUGCCGGGUGAAGUAUCGCAAGUUGUUGUUGAUAGAAGCAUGGCAGAAGGCAGAGACCCAGUAUGGAGGAAAUCCAUCUUCCAGAACUUUGCUGCAUCAUUUGAACCAAACAAAGCUGUUGCCUCAAGUUCACAUUGGAGUUCAUAUGAAACUGAUGCAGAAAUUGAUGAACUGAUAGGUUGGUUAAAGCCUCAUGAUCCGAAGGAAAAGGAGUUGAGAGAAUCAAUAUUGCACUGGCAGAAGUCUAGGUUCCAUAAAUAUCAGCAAACUGGAAGUCAAGUUCAGGAUGAUCUCCCUAGUGCUUCGUCAGUGGCUUGUAAUGGUGAAAGAGCUACAAUAUCUAACCAUCUUGUUACUAGGGCAGCCAUGUUUCUGGAGAAGUUAUAUGGUCCUUGCUUUGAGUUGGAAGCUGCUGAUAUCUCCAAAAAGCAGGGGAAACAAGCUAGACUAACUAAUGAUGAGAAAAUGUACAGGUGUGAUUGUUUGGAGCCAAUUUGGCAAUCUAGACAUCACUGCUUCUCUUGUCACAGAACCUAUUUGACUGAUUUUGAACUGGAGGGGCAUAAUGAUGGUAGGUGCACCUCAGGUGCUGCAGCCGGUGAUAAGGGAAAGGAAGUACUUGGUUCUACUAUGGUUAAGGGAAGUCUGAAUUGUGUGAUAAGUCGGGAAGAGAGCAAAGGGCAGCUGAAUUGCCCAUAUGAUCUGGAAAAUAUCUGUGCCAAGUUUGCGACAAAAGACUCUAAUAAGGAUUUGAUACGGGAUAUAGGUCUUAUAGGUUCCAAUGGAAUUCCAUCUUUUGUUCCAUCCUUAUCUCCUUACCUCAGUGAUUCUGCAGUUGCAUUGAUUACUCCUCAGGAAGAUGUAUGUGAACUUGGAAAUGAAAAGGCUGCUGAACCCCCAAAUUCAGUAGGAAAUGCUGGUGCCAACACUGCAGGGCGUAACAGUCAUUUUGGGUCAGCUGAUGGGGUAGAAGUGCCAGAGGCCAACUUCAGAUGUCUGGAACGAAGAAAUAUGAGACCCUCGGGUAGUCAUUCAAUUGUGGGGGCUGGUCACUUCUAUGUUGUCCCCCAGUCCUCUUUGCGGCCUUUAGUUGGAAAAGUUACGCAGAUCUUGAGACAUUUGAAGAAUAAUCUACUUGACAUGGAAGCUGCACUACCUGAAGAAGCUUUAAGACCAUCAAAGAUGCACUUGGAAAGGAGAUGGGCAUGGCGUGGGUUUGUUAAGUCCGCGUCCACAAUAUACGAGGUUAGUCUUCUCUUGCUAGAUACUACUUUCCUAAUCACUAAAUGAUGGCUAUGUUGCCAUUAAUUCAUAUAUUCCAUGGUGGAGCACUGUUUGAUAGAAAGGUUGUCACUCUUACUAUCUAUUUUUUAUUGUGUACUCCUUAAUGGUUUCAAAGAAAUAAUAGUUUCAUAUAUGUCAAUUUGUAUUUCCACCCAAUUGUUUCAGCAGAGCUUAGUUGGAUGUUUGAUAUUAUCAUGUUAUCAUCUAAAGCUUUUCUGCAGACCUCGACUUAUAAUUGUAUAAUGUAUUCUUAUUUUUAAUGCUGCCUUUGGCAGAACAGUAGGAUUAUCCUUUUACUUUUUUAAUUUUUUUUUUUCAAAAUUUUGUUAUUUUCUUAUGCUGCUAUGUAAUUCUGUACUUCCAAGUCCAUAGAUUUGAAAGAUAACCAACAAGUAUACUUGUUUUAUACAGAUGGUUCAAGCAACAAUUGUGCUGGAGGACAUGAUUAAGACCGAGUACCUAAGGAAUGAGUGGUGGUAUUGGUCAUCGUACGCAGCUGCCGCCCAAACUUCUACUAUGUCAUCCCUUUCCCUGCGUAUUUACUCCCUCGAUGCUGCUAUCCUGUAUGAGAAAUUGCUUCCGAAUUCCAACAUAACUGAUGAAUUGGAGCCUAGCAGCGUACAAGACCAGAGUAUGCAGCCUGUUGUGGAUUCAACAGAGAAGUUAAAGAUAAGUAGGAAAGUCAACAAGAAAAGGAAAGAUCCAGAGGGUUGAUGGUGGGAAAUAUGAUUCUAGAUUUGUGCUAUGGAUCCCAACCUGGAUGGGUCGUACCCAGCAGGCAUGAAGCAGCAGUGUGCAUAUCAGGUAACAGUGGAUUCUGAUCACUGAAUCACAUUCUGAGGUUGUGUUGGAUCAGAGUGGACCAUGACAACUAUUUUUGAAGAAUGAAAGUGGUCCCUGCUACUGAAUGCUGCUGCCGAACCAUUUAUUUGUACAUAAAGGUAAAGCUGACAUGCUAACUUGGAUGCGGAUAUGCGGAUGAUGAGAAGCAGUGUUUAUGUGGUAUCUGCUUCAGUGAAUUCGGGCACCGGGACAAACUUGAUAACAUAAGCAGAUGAGCCCAAUUUUGGAAUGAUUUCUGCUGCGGCCUAGAAGUGGGAGAUGACAUUCUUUAUAAGAAAGAGAAAAAAAAUAUCAUAUAUAGUUACAGAGGGAACUAAUAUUAACGAGAAAUUGGCAAAUUACUGAAGCUGAGCAGGUUUAGUCAAUAUCUCAUUCUUUGGAUACAUCUCUCUUUUCAGUCUCUCUCUCUCUCUCUCUCUCUCUCUCUCUCUCUCUCUCUCUCUCUCUCUCUCUCUCUCUCUCUAGGCCAAAGCUCUCAGAAUUUUUAGUUCAUCUUUUUGGGGGCUUUCUGGGAUCAAUGUCUUCUUUUUUUUGUUUCUUUUUAGUGCAGUAUCCCAUGGUCUGCCUUCCAUUUUGUAGCAAAGUAGCAGGUGUUAGAUGCAUUACAAGUCCAUUAGCUUGAUGUGCAAUCUUCAUACGAAGAAUUGUAUCAUAGUUUAGAUUCUUUCAGCUUCUGCCUCGUCAUUGGCAAUGUGUCUGUCAAUAUGUAACCUUGUGUACUCUUGUGAUUUUCUCAUGAAAUAGCAGUACUUUUUAGUGUAUCCAGUUGAGCCUUCUCUUUUAGCUCUUUAGUCGCAGGAUGUGUGUUGUUUUGGUAAUGCAUUGUUGCAAAUUUAAUCAGUUUUACUGCUAAUUUCUCCCAGACUAAUGUUGUUCUGUUUACACCUGCACCCAAGUGAUAACUGAUGGUAAUAAUUUGUUACUUAUUUUCUUAGGUUAUUGUAAUAAUUGAGGGUUUCAGUAUGCUUCUUCCUUGACUAUUGGGGAGUAUGAGGUCGAAUGGUGCAGUGUUGUCACUUUGGGUUUAUGAAACACUUGAGGUCAGAUUCAUCUAGAUAUGCUUUGGAAGAGGUUGAUGAAAUGCCUAUUGUUCCAUAUAGUGAUUGUAUAAUCAUUGGUCUUAGACUUUGUAAUAGCGGAAUGGUACAAAAACACAAGUAGAGAAAGGAACAUAGAAAUGAGGGUUGGACAAAUCUCAAGACGAUAGGAUAGCUCAAGCCUCAAGAAGAUCGUCAGGUCCAUCCCUAAAAGAUUCAGGUCUGCAAUUUUUGUACAGGAAACUCAGGAUCUUGGAUUAUAGCUACAAAUCCUUCUGAACAAAAUACAUUGAUUUUUAUUUAGCGCUCAGAUUUAUUUUAGUGUCUGAGGCACUGACAAAGCUGCAUGCCCUUUACAUUUGUGUUCGUAAUUGCUGAACAAUCAGCUUAACUGCUUGGAUUAAGCAACUAUAUAUAGGUACAUUAGGGAAGUAAAAUAGCAACUUCAUUCUCUGAAAUAGAGAUGGUAACAUUCUAGGACCACACCCACCAGCCCAUAGACACUCCAUCCUCCGGCUGCUGCUGCACUGCAGCGGCGGCAAACACUUCGGAGAAGUAAUUCCGGCCGUCAUCGCUGCCAUCAUCCUCCUCCGAGUGGACUCCAACUACUAGCCCCAUGCAGUGAUGAUCAUCAUGAGGAAGAUGAGGAUGAUCAUAAUUGUGAACGUCACAGCUACUUGGGAAAUAAGAGUCACCGCUGUCCACGAGCUGAGGGCUUUCCUCGUCCACCACGGCACUUCCACCGCUCCCGGAGCUCAGGCGAUCCUCAACCUUGACACUAAGCUGGAGACUCAUUGGAACAUUAACAUCCGUGAUCAUCUCUUUCUCACUUGGAAGAAGAUGAACAGGGUCACACUUCUCAUCAUGAUCAUGAUCACCUGCAAAUGCUGCUCCUUUAGCCUCCUGAUCUUUAGCUUCAAGUUUCUCAGUUAUGGUGACCACCUGUAUUAAUGCUUACGCUAAAUUAAUGUAUCCAAUGAGGGAACUAAACUAAUGAUUUCCAUAUCAUAUUUUUCUAAACAAACCAAAGAAGAGAGUCGAGGGAUUUAUAAUAUGAAGUGUAACCGAGUAUAUUCCUUCUGUGACUCUGAGAGUGUUUAUUAAAAUUCAAGGUGGGGUUUUUCAGAACAGAAGCUAUGUAUUUAGAUGGAAAUAGGACCACGUACAAACACCAGAUCUGUCUACUACAGUACUAUAAUAUCUACAAAGAGUUUGAUUGAAUCAAAUUACCAAGUGAUUGUGAAUCUGAGACCAACAUUAGCAUGUAAGACAAAGUGUCACAGCAACUCAAUUUACAUAUGAAAAUGGUAUAAUUAUUUCUAUAAAAAUUAACCUUUGCUAAGAAGACACUUUGCGGACUAAAUAUUCAUCUCAAGAAGUGCCUUCUGAUUAUUUCUAUUAUGAAGAAUUAACCUUUUGUGGAUGACAUGUUCGUCAAAACAAGGUUCUUUCUCAAGUUACUUGCUAUGCCAAAAGCUUUGUUAAAAUCAUAGUUAAGAAAAUCAUGAUCAACAAUUAGCUAGCAAGUAUGAGUAGGAAAAUUGGUGACUACUGUGUAAUAUAUACCUCAGAUUUGAGCUUCUGAUUCUCCUUGAGGAUAGAAUCAUAGUUGGCCAAAAGGGAGUCAUAAGACGCUUUUAGAACAUCAUAAUCGCGCUCGAGCUGCUUUGUCUUCCAUCGAGCCCUACGGUUCUGGAACCACACAGCCACCUGCCUUGGCUGCAGCCCUAGCUUCUUGGCCAGCUGCGUCUUCCGAUCCGGCUCCAGUUUGUUCUCUGUCUCAAAGCUCUUCUCCAGCAGAUGCACCUAAGAAACGAAAUAUCACAAAAUCAGAAUCAAAACUCUGAUCUGAUCUGACUACAAAUCAAACAAAAAGGAAGACAAAUCGAACAAAGUUGAGUUCCAGUAAGCUAAAAUGAUGUGAAAACUACUACAAUCAGAUUCCCACUAGGGUAAAGCCAAAAAGAUUAUAGUGAUAAGGAAAAUGAAAUGAAUUUAUGCUCCUGAUCAGGUAAAUAUGCCAUAUGUAGCACAAUUCACAUGGGAAUAUUCUUCAAACUUAGAACCAAAAGUCCAUAUGCAUAUUCGAUUAGACCAAGACACAAACAUGUUUAAGCUUAUCGAGAAGGAAUAGAAUUUUAUACAAAUAGUUCCAUAGUGAAGUAUCAUAUAUGUAAGAAAGGAAAAUAGGGGUGGUGGCCGGAGACCUGCUCGGUAGUGAGGCGGCGCUUCUUCUCCGGCAUCUGCUCGUCGUAAUAUUCCUCCUCGUACAAUUCAUCUUGCGUGCUGAAAAACGAUCGCCUCCUCGAAGUUUCCUCCAUCCCCAUCAUCGAUCUCGACCCUAAUCAAUUCCAAAAAUUAAUUCAUAGAUUAGUCUUUUUUUUCAUCAUUGAAUUUCAUAGCUGACUCGAACAGAGAACAUCCGAGCAACAUGAAUCGAAGCAGACAAGCCAAAUUCAACAUGAGAAAACCAUAAUAUUCUUACUUACCUCGGAAAACUUGAUCACCACUCCCAAGGAACAACAUGUUGCCACCGCCACCUUGCUGAGGAUCAAAGAAAAGACGGCCCGGCUCCAUCAUCUUCACAAAGGACUCUUCUACUUACCUUGAUCUCCUCUUGAAAAAUUCUGCUGGGCCGGCGGGCGCGUGAAGUCACUCGCCGUCGGUACUGGUUGAAAAGUGCUAGGGGACGGGAGGUUUCUACCGUUUCUUACACAAUACGUAAUAUUUUGGGUGUAAGUGAAAUCUAUUAGAAGAUCAUAAUCUUGUGGCGGAAGAAACUGGUGCUCCAAAGUAACCUCGCCGGACUCUCCAACGGACAGAUACAAAAUCCCAUCAUACCACCACCGAUCUUUUCAGCUCCGGUGAAAGCAACGUCAAGUUCGCCGGAUGUAUAUAUACUGAAAAUUGAGUUUAGAAGAUGGUUUCUUUGAGUACUAGGCUUGUACUUGUUCGAACCUCACGCACCAAACCUCCAUGAGAGACAGGGGGAAAUCUGGAUAUAUGAAGUUCACUGGAGCUUAUAUAUCCGGCGAGCGAGAAAGAGAGUCGGAAAAAACGAGUGUUGUUUCAAGGUUUUUUUUGCAGCUAAAGUUGAGAGAGGUGACUCCAGCGCGAUUUAUAUUGGUGCCAUGCGUCUUAAAUGACCAAACAAUCCUCUGAAAUCGACAUCAGCUACAGCUUUUCUUGGGACCGUUAGGUAAUUCAAGUAGAAUUUCUCUUAGGGUUUGGAUGUACACGUACUGCGGGUGUAGAUAACAAUUGCCAAAUAUUAUUUUGAUUGUAAAACUAUUUCUAUAUCUUUAGAUGACAAAACGUCUGUUUCAGCUUUGUCACUUAACAAAAAACUACAAAGAAAAGUUUGAUUGAAAAUAGAGGAGAGAAUAAUUAAUUAGCACUAAAGAUUAUUAGAGUUUAAUUAGUGAAAUGGAAAUUGUUUAGGGUUUACAGAGGGGCCAAUUGUUCAUGUGUUCAGAUGGGGGGAGAUGGAGAUGAGGAUUAGCUGCCAGGCAGUGUAUAAUAUGUGCCCAUGCUUGGUGAUCGAGGAAUUGUCGGAUCCAGAUCACCUGAAUUGCUGCGCUGUGAUAAAUGGUUCUGAUUCUCUCUAUCUGUGUUUCUUUCUUCUUGAAAUUGAUUUUCAUCCUGCCAGAGAUAUAUAUAUAUAUAUAUAUAUAUAUAUAUAUGUCGUCUCUGCAACUCCCAUUUGCAUAUCUAGUUGCUCAUCAUGGAGCAUCUCAAUAUUACCUUUCAUUUCUUGGACUGUUUCUUUGUUUUUCUAUUGGAAGUUUGCAUUGUUUUAUGAUUCAGAAACUCUAAAACCAUACUGGUUCAAAAGCUAGAAAAGCUGAGAUCGAGUUGAUCUGCGACCAUGAAUGUGAUCAAAGUAAUUAAAUCGUUGAAAGUCUCUAGUACAUUAACAAAGGAAGGAGAUAGGUUUGGUUUCUAACCUCAUUCACCGGCUGGUUGUGAUUAUAUAACUAAGGACGUGGACAUAUAUAACUAGGGAAGAGUCGGGCUUAGCUACUAGGUUUGGUUGUGUCUUCUUCAGUUCUUCGUAAGAAAUGUUUGUGGGUAAGAACUAAGAACUAACAUAUAUAAGAUCAAUGGUGGUCCGUUGAGAGAUCGACGAUAAAGUCUCACGUAGCCUAUACCUAUGGCCUUCCUGGUUGGCCGGAAUUCUUCGCUCUGAGCCAUCGACUGUUAGUAGUGGGUUUUCUUCUCUUUUUUUUGUGGUUGUUUUAAAGUUGUUUAACUAAUGGGUAUGCUAUUGUUAAGUAUAUAUACAAAUAAAAGUUUGAUCAAAACCUUUUGUUUUUGUUUAGAGUGAUGUGGUUGCAGAUCAACAAAACAAAGUCUUUAGUGUUGUGCUAAGUAGCUGUAAGGCUGUAACCAAUAAUGUCCAAAACGAAGAAACAGAAGGGGAGGCCAGGAAAACCAAAGGUAUCUUGGUGAUGAGUGGAGUGGAAUAGAGUCGCAUGGAUUAUACUCAAAAUGGUGGGGUUCAUGUAGACAUGACUUGUAAUCUCAAACACUACUAAAAAGUUAUAUAAAUAUGGCUUAGCUACUAUUCUCGUCUCUAAGUGACGCAGUCACACUCACACAAAUAUAACAUAUACAAUACAAGGUGACCACACCAUACAUAUUUUAGUGCUUGUGCCACGCACUCAUGAAGCACUUGAUUAAGAAGUUUUGAAUUAGUUCCAUGGUGCCACAGUACCCCAUUCUCUUCUUUUCUUUUUCCUUUCUCUGAUUGAUUGUAACGUAUAAAUGUAUAAUGAUACAAGACUACUGUUCUGUAUGCGUUUAAAUAUAUGUAGAACAAAGUAAACCCUUGAGAAUAAGAUGAAUACUAUUAAGUAAGAUAUAUUAGGAUAUGUAUACGUAGUUGCAGGGAAUAUAAACCCUAGAUCGACUCUUCUCUUCCUCAGGUAUCGUUUUCAUGGCCUUUAGCAACUGCACUUCGGUUAUGGGACCCGAAGAAUCAAAAGCUUUCCUUUAAUUUUCGAGUGGAAGAUAAAGGAAAUAGGAAGCUAGCUAGAAAAAGCUAAGCACAAAACAACAUUUUUUUAGAAAACAUACAUACUUUUGGUUAGUUAUUUCUCCGUUAAGUUAGUGUUUAAUUACGAAACAUUUUUAAUGUCUUUAGAAGUCGUUUAAAGUGACAAAUCAUUUAAUUUACAUAAACACGCAUAAUUUAAUGAUUUAAAGCCUUUAAUUCUACUACGUUAAACGUGAUCUUUAGCACAUAAACAGAAUGAUAAGAGAUAUUCAUGCAUGGGCAUUUUGUUUAGUCAUUUGAUCAAAUUGCAAGAAAUGUUCAUUAUUUUGAACAACAUUGACUUGAGAUUAUCUGGAUCGAUCAAGGCAUGCAUGUGAUGUGUACUGAGAAAAUGAUGGAGGUGCAUGUGUCAGCGGCAUCUUUCAUCGAUUUUAUAUCAUUAAUCCUGUUUACAGAUCGAUCUAAUUAACAUAUAUAAUUUCAAUAUUAAUUGAAAAAUCGAACAGUUUGAAGUACUAUUGAUUUUAAGAAAUUAAACAGAUUGAUUAUUCAUCAGAUCGAGACUUAGAGAAAUGCCCACUUUCCAUGUGUUGGCCAGUUGUCUACCAAUGGCUUGCAAUGUGGGAAUAUCUGUACUCUCCCAUUUGAAUAAGAAGAAGAAGAAGAAGAAUAAGAAGAAGAAAGGGAAUCAAAACAGAAGAGAUUAUAGAAAACACUUCGAUCCCCCACAGAUAAGGAAUGUGAUUCACUUCUUCCCAGAAGAUAAUAACAAGUCUUAACUAAGAACCAGCAGUAGUUUUCUUAUAUAUGCAAGAAAGAUAAGAUGCAUGGGAAACGAUUAACGUAAUCAUCGAAUUAUAUAUGAACGAAACAUUUGGAAGUUCGAUUUGAUCAGCUUUUAUUCUCUUCACGUAAUGGAAUCAAGGAAUUCGAAACAGCCCGUUAUCGAUCACUACAUUUCUCCUUCUGUAAUGGACUUGGCUAUAUACGUACAUAUGUACGUAUACGAUCAAAGAAAAUUAUCUAUAUGUUAAUGAUUCACUUCCACACGUUAAAAAAGUAUCAAUAUUCUUUAUCUUUCUUUCUUUCCUGGGACGGGGGUUUUUGGGUGGUUUGCUUUUGUAGUAUAAUUUGCUUCGUUGGUAAGGCAAUACACUAAAAUAAAUGUGGUACGUGGUAUCUUUUCACUAGAAUCGAUCAUGGAUAUAUAUUGGAGAUUUGGACUUUAAGUUGGUCCAAUAAUCGUCCACCUCCUUCUGCUAGCUACUUGGCUUUAACAGAAAGUGGGGAUCGAUAUCGAGGAGAAUGAAUUUGGUGAAUAAGUUAGCUUGGUGAACUUAAUUAAUGGGGAUUGAUAGAGAGUAGUCGGAAAGCUACGUAUAAAUGAGAAGGGCACCAGGCACCUGAGAAGGAACAAUGCUUUUGAGAUAUGUUUGUGUCAUUGUCGACCUUAUGAUUUGUGAAUGCAUGGUUGAUAAUGGUCGUCGACCAUGGCCAUUUCAAAUUUUCAACUAUAUAUUUUACUAGCAUUCCUUAAAGUUUUCUCUCAAGUAUUAGGUAAUCAAUUUCAAAAAACAACCUACAGUAUUGUGCACCUCAUACUGAUAUGAACACACCAUAUAACAGCAAAAAGGAUCAAAAUAGAUGAGGUAUAACUUAAGUCCAUCUCUAUAUCCUGGGGGAACUCUUGGACCUCUACAAUUGCUGCAACCUCUUCUACAUCAACUUGCUCCAUAAUCCUUUCAGCAUCAACUACUUGCUUCAUAGUCUUUUCUGCACGGUACUUCGCGAUCCGUAAUCUUUUCUACAUCAUCCAUAAUCAGCUAAUCUUUUUGUUCAUCUUUUCUCUAUACAUCAACUUCCUUACAGAAUUGUUUUGUUGCAAAGCGUAGAAGAGUUAGUUUUGUACUCCUUAAUUGCUUCUUGACCAUUCUCGAUUUCAUAAUGGUGAAAAAGUGAAAUGAGUUACAUAGCUACAAUGGUGAAGUGUACAUAUAUAGCUAGCUAUGUGCCAAUCUCGAUCUAAGUUUUACCAAGAACUGAUCGAAUAUGGAUAACAGAUCAUUUACAUAUGAGAGCAAUCGCACUAAAGAGAUCAAUGAUAACCUGCAACUCUCGUAGCGUGAGAAGCUCCAGAAGACGAGUAUAUAUGGACAACAACGUACAUACGGUGUAUCAUAUACUCCGAACAUACAGUAAAUUAAGGAGCCUGCUCGACAUUGAGAAUCUCCACGGUGUCAGCCAUCAACUCCUAUAGACUAGAAAGCUGUCAAAGCAAAAAUUAUACUGUACAUAGGCAGAGAGCAUUAACUAAUGGAAAUCGAUCUGAGAGCAUAAUAUAAGUGGUUGGUUACUUGGUCUGCUUGCAUACAAGCUUACAGUUAUAUAGUAGACGUAGAUACAGAAAGGGAUAGCACUAGGAUAUGCUAUAUAUAUCUUGAUUUCGGAAGUGUAUGAACAAGGCCAAGGCAUGGGGAAAAGCCUCUUUGAUCAAAUCACUUAACAAGGCCAAGAACAUAUUACUAAGCUGAUCCUGAUUCUUGUUAAAUUCUCCAGACGACUAAUAUGUUAAAUGCAACACCUGCUUAUUUGCAGAAGUACGUACUACGACUUGCAUUAUCAGAAGAAAUAACAAAAUGCAGGUCGAUGGUAAAGACUCUAAUCUGUAGGCACCUGUCUGCAAUUUCUAGAAGUUGACGGGGACUGCGUAGCUAGGGUUUUAUCCUUCUUCUUUCUUUUUUUUGACAUGAAUGGAUAUAUAUGGAUGCGUAUUGCAGCUCAUAUAGAAAUUGAUUAGCUAAAUGGUAACCAAUCCCAAAUUUGAUAUUGUGCCAUGAAUAUAAUAUCGAUCUGUACGUUUAUUCAUACCAACAUAAGGCUAGAUUAUGCACCAAGUCUAAUCUUUGUAAUUAUUUUGACCAAAAAAAUCUUUGUAAUUAUAUGUCGAUUUGUAUGACCUGAUUAAUAGGUAAAUAUGGAUAGUGCCUCCAGGAUAAAUGCCAGAUUAAUAGGUAAUUGUGGAUAGUGCCUCCAGGAUAAAUACUUGAUCUAAUAUAUCCGCCAUUAACCUCAUACACACCAAAGACAUGAGAAUCUCGUUAUUACUAGAACAAGUAAUUAAUCAUUUGAAAGAGUGAGAUAAUCUCCCAGAUACUGAAAUUCCAUUUGGACAUUGAUAAGUCCCAAUAUAUAUAUGAGCAUUUACUUCUUGAAAAUUUCAUUCUCCAUAUCCCUGUUAUUUCAAUCAUAUUUUCUUUUACAUUCUUCUUACAAAGAUGGUGAACGCAAAUGCUAUUAGGUUUGUGGUUGGUAUUAUUGGUACGUUCUUGAUGCCCUUCUCUGCUUCUAAACUCAUAGUUCUCGUUUCUCUCUUACACUCUCUUGAUCUGUUAAAAUAGCUAGAAUAGAUUAAUAUAAGGGCUUGAAGGUGUUUGUUGAUUUUGUUUGUUUAAAUUUUUUGUGUGCAGGAAACGUCAUAUCUACAUUUCUGUUCCUCUCCCCAAUGUAAGCCUCUCCCUAUCGCACUUAAUCGUUAUUGAUGUUGAAGAAUAUAAAGCAUAUGAACUUAUGUGAUUGUCUAACUUGUUUUCCUAUAUGAUUGGUGAUUUCAUAUGUUCCACUUACCUAUGGUUUAUAUGAUUGAUCUCUUACUCGGGUAGUAAGAUUGUAUCAAAGCUUCUCGUUUAGGGCAUGAGAUAUAUAUUAGGAUUAUGCUUGAUCUCUUAUUUGUUAAAAUAUAUGUUAAAUUUGGACUUGUGAUUUGGUUGCUCAAUUGUUGAUUAUCAGUUGAAUCAGAUUUGGUUUUCAUCACAUCUAAUGCUUCGGAUAAAAUAUUCUUCUUUUUUUGGCAGCCCUACGUUCAUCAAGAUAUGUAAAAAGAAAGAUGUGGAAUCUUUCGAUCCAAAGAUUUACAUUGUAACAGUGUUGAACUGUUUGUUUUGGUGCUAUUACGGAAUGCCAUUUGUUAAUCCAAACAGCAUUCUAGUAGUCACCAUUAACGGAGCUGGGCUAGUAAUAGAGCUUAUAUAUAUUGGAAUAUUCUUUUUUUAUGCUCCAAAAAAUGGACGGGUACGCAUACAUCAUUCAUUUACACAAUUUGACAACCAGGUUGCGUUUAUUUAUUUUUCAAAUAUUUAAUCUUUCACUUUUAUUCUUGCAGGUGAAGGUUAUCCUAUUGUUAGUAGGUGAAAUUGUUUUGUUUGCCGUUAUUUUGGUUAUAACUAUGUUGACAAUAUCCGAGCAUAAGAUGGCAAUGAAUAGACCUUACCGGGCUGUCGUGAUUGGUAUUAUAUGUGAUGUCUUCAAUGUCAUCAUGUAUAGCUCUCCUCUGUUCAUUGUGGUAUGUCAUACUUUAUAAUGUAAAUAUAUUUGUUAUUGUGUAAUACCUCACAAUUUAGCUCACUGAUGACUUGGUUUUAACUUUUAACAGAGAGAUGUCAUUAGAACUAAGAGUGUGAAGUACAUGCCAUUCCAUAUCUUAUUGGCCAACUUCAUGAAUGGUUGUUGCUGGACUGCAUAUGCUCUUAUUGGGAAAAUUGACUACUUCAUCUUGGUAACUAUUUCGCUCUUAGUGAUCAAUUUUGAUGAUGUGGUGAUUGACCUUAUUAACUAACGCAUGUGUAUCUAAUUACUAAUGCAGAUUAGCAACGGUCUUGGUGCAUUUUUUGGACUAGUUCAAUUGAUAGUCUAUGGAAAAUACCGCAAAACUACACCAAAAGAUGAUGACCAUUCCAACAAGGCUACUAAUGAAGUGCAACUCUCUAAUGUAUAAUUAUCUCUUAUCCAUCCAAUCGCUUCAAAAAUUUUGUCCUUUUUAGUUUCUGUAUGUUUUUGAGAUCAAGUUUCUGGUUUUUGUAAUUAUAGAAUUGGUUUUGUGCAGUCAAGUAAUUGAGAUGCAUAUAUUGAUAUUGAGAAUUUGAAGCUUUUUUUUGGCGAUGUUCACUUCAUUAUUUUUCCAAUUAAUUGCUACUGAGUCAUUCACAAGUCUCUAUCACUCGUUAGUAUUACCACAAUCUUAGACCUGCAUGAAUGUAUAUAUGAUCAUCCAUGGAUCAUUGAUCCAGUAAUCUGACUUGCUGAAAAGAGAUAAGAGUGUGUUUGUUGUUUCGUGACACACAUUUGGUUCGUAGACUACAUUAAUAUAUGACAUGCAGGGUCAAAUCUAUGGAGUAUGGAGAAUCAUAUAUGGUCUCCUCUUUUCCUAAUCCUGGUGGAAGAGAGACUUUUCUCCUUGUUGAUUUAGGGUUAUAACUUAUAUAUAGCUUGCAAAAUCUACAUUACGAAUGCUACUACUUGAUUCAACCAUGCCGUCAAUCUCCACUGAGAAGCAUUAUUUUUGCAGUAGAGCGUUCCAAAGAGAUACCACAGAAGCAUUUGCACUUGGACCGCAGUUUCUUCCGAUCAACUUUUUUCUGAUCAAGGAGAUCCACAGUUGGCAUGAUGAUCCAACAGACAUUACUUAUGAGAGUUUGAUAGCUGCAACAAGAAGAACUUCAAUCCUGAUCACUGGUAUCAACCACAGAAAUGGAUAUGCAGAGAUUUUGGGCAGGCACCUUUCGAGAAUGGGAAUGCCACAAGAGGAGCAGCCAACUAUCCUGGAGAAACUGUUUCAAGUGGUUGAAGUGGCCAUCCCCAUGCGUCGCGUCUUUGUUUUGGUAGCUGAUGUGACUGUGCGCUUAUUGGGAAGUUUUGAUGAUCAGGACACCAUCGAUAGACUUACAAGGGAACAUCCCAUUUCAAAACAAUUUGAGUUUGUUCACGAGUUGGGCAUUGAGGAAACCUAUGGAUUGAGUGAGGCUGAUUAUCAUGAUAUCCAUGAUAUGGUUACAUGGGAAUCCUUUCAAACUCAUAGGGGAAAGUUUAUUCCUGCAUUUAGCUUGGAGAAAGUGAGACUUGGUAGUUUGGAAGAAGCUACUAUCAAACUUUAUCCAACAUGUGUUAUUUGUAUGGAUGACUUCGCAGAUGGAAGUGCCGAUCAGCUGGUUAUUCGUUUGCCCUGUGCAAACCUUUUUCAUGCACACUGCAUUUCCCAAUGGCUAGAGGUGAAUCGCGUGUGCCCCCUUUGUCGAUAUGCAAUAACAAAAGAGGUUGAUAUCGAACCCUCAGAAAUUAUCACUGAAAAUGUUGAGCCACCUGUGCACGAAGCUAAUUUUGAGCCGCAAGUACCUGAUCAACAACAGCUCGCAAAUGAAGUCCUAGUGCCAACCCAAGAAUCAAACUUUCAAGCUUCGAACUUGAACAAUGUCCAUGACAAUACUGACAACCUCAAUGCUAAUGUGAACCUAAAUGUCAAUUUCUCAUUCAAUGUUGAAUCUCAAGAUGAGGGUGAGGCCAUUGGACUUUCUCAAGACAAUGAAUUUGUGCUGGAACCAAAUAUUCAUGUAAAGCACAUAACGGAUCACUUGACGAAGAUGUUAACAACGUGUACGGAAACGAUGACGGGUUUAUUAUUUCGUGUAUUAAUAAUGUGUUGUUCAAAAAGUUAAUAAACUAAAAUUAUUAGUGACGAAAAGUUUCGUAUACCAUUUUUAAAAUUUUCCCUCAAUCUAAGAUCAAGCCAAGAGUAUAUAUGCAUGUACCUCAUGCAGACAAUGAUAAACCUCUACCUAGCCUAAUAAGCCUAUGAGUGACAUUUUAGUUCACAUUAUGUAAUCAUCCGAGUAUCCAACUAUAUUAUGCACCUAACAAUUUUCCAACCUCUACUUUUAUACUUCUAUAGUGUAAAUCUCAAUUGUAGUCCUCAACAAACAAUAGUCCAAGAUGUAUUUACAAAUGUGUUUAAUCGUGGAUCAUCAUGUUCGCAAUACUUAUAUUGUUAUUAUACAAUAUGAAAUUAUCACAACCCAUAAAAAUUUUACACUAGAGACGCGGUCUGUAUCACGACACAUGGUUCUUGGCAAAUAAUAGUAUCAAUGUAAUUAUGUCGAACUGGUUUUGAUCAGUGUAUUUCCGAAAAGUAAAUGAGGAUCAUGUUUAAAAUAUCAACAAGUAAAAGAGUUUCAACAAGUAAAAGAGUUUCACCAAAAAUCUAACAUCUUAUCCAGAUCAUGAGGACUGAGGUUGAUGAUGACCCAUUGUGCCAGGCUGCCAUUAGCUUCCCACUAAAAUUAUAUUAUUGUCAUAUCCCAACCAAAGAGAGCAAGUAAACAAGUGACCAAACCCAACUGACUGAUCUUCACCUUAUCUGUGUGCUAUCCUAUUCAUUUCCUUAUCCUCUUAUACACAAAAACAGACCUCUUCUGUUUCACUAGUGUAAGCACCUCAAAUGGCAGCCAUUAUCUCCUGCCACUCCAAAUUCUUAGGAUCCAACAUACCCUUUAACGUUGGCACUCGCUUCCCUGUUUCCCGCAACCAUUCUUCCCCUGCUUCUAUUCAAUGUCGGGUUCAGAACAACAAACAGGUGACGUUUUUGGGUUCUGAUCUUCUUCAAGUUCUAAUCUAUUGAAAUGUAUAUGUCAUUUGAAUACCCUUGAGUUUGGUUUUGAUUUUCAUUAUGCUCUGCAUUUUGUUCAAUCAAAGUAUGGGAAUUUAAGGAAUCUGUAGAAUGUGUGGACUUCUUCAUAGUAAAAUGUAAUGUUUAGCUCACUAAAUUGGAAGAGCAGUUCAUGAACUGUAGUGUUUAGUAAUUUUGGGUGUGUUCUAAUUUGUGCAAAAUUUGCUUGGAGAUAAGACCCACAUUGAACUUUCCCUUUAUUUUGAUGUGUUCUCAUCAUUUGUGCUCAAUGCAAUAAAUUGAAGAAAUGUGUAGAUUAUAUGGAUGAAUUCAUGAACUCGUCUUUAGUCUUUACUGUUGGGUGUGUUGUGCAAUGGUUGUAUGUAGCUAAGACACACACAUUGAUAGUGUUUGCUUGUUUCAGCAGAAAGGGAGUUCAUUUUCGAUAAAGGAGUGUGCGAUUUCGAUAGCUUUGACUGUAGGGCUAAUAACAGGAGUUCCUGCAUUGGAAUCAUAUGCAGCUACCCCAGUGCUGCCUGAUCUUGCCGUACUGAUAUCAGGGCCUCCAAUAAAGGACCCUGGGGCGUUGUUGAGAUAUGCUCUGCCUAUUAAUAACAAGGCUAUCAGGGAGGUGCAAAAGCCGCUUGAAGAUAUCACAGAGAGUCUCAAGAUAGCUGGGGCCAAGGCACUAGAUUCAACUGAGAGGGUAAUACAUCAAACUUGAUCUUUCUUUGUGUUUGUUUUUGGUUUGUUGAAGGAAUUAGAUGGUAACCGAGACUCUACUUUGUAUGUAGAAUUUGAGGCAGGCCUCUCGAGCACUGAAGCAGGGGAAGGCUUUAAUUGUGUCUGGAUUAGCUGAAUCAAAGAAGGAUCAUGGUGCUGAAUUGCUUGGCAAGUUGGAAGUUGGAAUGGAUGAGCUCCAACAGAUUGUGGAGGAUAAAAAUAGAGAUGGGAUUGCUAAGAAACAGAAAGAACUAUUACUCUACGUUGGAGGGUGAGUACAUGGUAGAAGCAUUUCUUAUGCAUUGGGGAAGGUUUACUGUCUUAUUUCUUUAGGUGAAACUAAUAGGCUAGAGCGAGAUAAGUAUGUGACCUCUAAAGAAGCUCAUUUCAUAUGGAAAGAAGAACUUGCAAACUUUAUGCAUGUGUCCAUGUAAUUGAUUUUUGGGCUGUAGCAUAAUUCACCGUCUCACUUUCCAUAUAUGUCAUUGAGAGGGUAUUCUGCAUUUUCACUGUCAAUAGAAGUCCAUAUUUCAGAGUUCCUUUAUAGAAGUCUUGAGUUCCAAAAUGUUUGCGUUACAUUACUGGUGAUGAGUACUUUUAGUACUUGGAGUGAUAUAGCACGAUUACUGACCCUCAGGCUUAGGAGCUGGUAUUGUAAUUUAUUAGGAAAAGCACCAUCUAUGCCCUGAUGAAGAGUAGCUCAGAGAUGUUUAAGUACAUGAGAUUGUAGUUGUGACAUGUCUAGUCUCAUAUAUACCCUUGUCAUUGACUGCAGCUGAGCUCUUCCUGGGGAAUUGGAUUUCUGCAGUGUUGAAGAGGACAUGGUGGACGGAUUCCCUUAUGAGAUUCCCGAAGAAUACCAGAGCAUGCCUCUAUUGAAGGGGAGAGCAACUGUGGAUAUGAAGGUCAAGGUUAAGGAUAAUCCUAACCUUACUGACUGUGUCUUUCGUAUCGUCCUCGAUGGUUACAAUGCUCCUGUAACUUCUGGGAACUUUGUAGACUUGGUGGAAAGACGCUUUUAUGAUGGCAUGGAAAUCCAAAGAGGUAAAUCUCACAGCACAAGUGUGUGUGUGUGUGUGUAUAUUUUUCGUAUAUCAGGCCGGAUGUGGAGCGCAUGUCUGCACUGGCUUAAAGUGCGCACGUCCCUCCGUUCGCCACCGUCUGGCGCCGACGACGGCACGCCUCCACCCCAGCGGACUCCAGCAGCGUCCCCGAGCACUUUCCCUCCCCAGCGAGUCCGCCGAAUUCUAGUUUCCGGCGAGAUCAACUUUAUUUGAAGUUUUGGGUGAUCUCACUAGAAAACUGGAAAAGAACGGACUCGCUGGGGAGGGAAAGUGGUCGGGGACGCUGCUGGAGUCUUCUGGGGGGAGGCGCGCCGUCGUUGGCGCCGGACGGUGGCGAACGGAGCUCCGUGCGCACUUUAAGGACUGUGCACGCGCUUUCUAUCGUUUUUGUGUAUAUAUAUAUAUACACACAGCUGAUCAGGUGCGGACGUCCGCACCAAAAUUUUUGGUGCGGAUUUCCAUUUUUUGCACCACUUCCCGAUUGAAUUUCCUCAAACUUCCUUCUAGACAUAUCUAGAUCAUCUUUGCAAAAUUUCAGCCAAUUUGGUGAUCGUUAAGGCCCUCAAACUUGCGUUUUUCUGUUAUAUACCUGAACCGGACAGAAUACAGGCCGUCGAUUUGUUUUUCGAUUUUGAGGGCCUUAACGAUCACCAAAUUGGCUGAAAUUUUGUAGAGAUGAUCUACACAAGAUGAUCUAGAUAUGUCUAGAAGGAAGUUUGAGGAAAUUCGAUCGGGAAGUGGUGCAAAAAUUCGAUCGGGAAGUUUGAGGAAAUUCGAUCGGGAAGUGGUGCAAAACUUUGGUGCGGAUGUCCGCACCUGAUCAACAUUGUGUGUGUGUGUGUAUAUAUAUAUAUAAUAUUAGUUUAAGUGUCUUUCCUUGGUACUUGCUGGCUUAUCUUAUAGAUUUUCAUCGUCUUGAUUGCAGCGGACGGAUUUGUCGUUCAAACUGGUGAUCCUGAAGGACCUGCAGAGGGUUUCAUUGACCCAAGCACUGAGAAAAUCAGGACCAUACCCUUAGAAAUCUCUGUGGAUGGAGAGAAAGCACCCUUUUACGGAGCAACUUUGGAAGUAAGAUUCCUCCUCUCUAGUCACUCCCUCUCUCCCUUUGUGUAUGUGUGUUUAUGUUGAUUGAUUGCAUAUGUGUUAUGGAUGAAAGCUGGAAACAAUAAGAACCAAACCCAAUAUAAAAAGUCAAAGUAGAAGACAUCAACCCUAAUUGUCUGUGUGACUGAUCUUUAUCAAGCAGUAUAUCUGGAAAUGAUCUCAGUGGUUUUGACAUUGAUAUAUUUUGCCAGGAACUCGGGCUAUACAAGGCUCAGACAAAGCUUCCAUUUAAUGCAUUUGGAACAAUGGCAAUGGCCAGAGAUGUAAGAACCAUUUCUCUUCUUCGAGUGUAUAUCUUUUCUCGGAUUGAUUUGAUUGCUAACCUAGAGUAGCUCAUUAUUUUUGUUGACAGGAAUUUGAGAACAAUUCUGCUUCAAGCCAGGUAUUUUGGUUACUAAAGGAAAGUGAGUUAACUCCCAGUAAUGCCAAUAUAUUGGAUGGUCGAUAUGCAGUGUUCGGCUAUAUUACAGAAAAUGAGGACUUUUUGGCAGAUCUCAAGGUUGGUGAUGUUAUUGAGUCUAUCCAAGUUGUUUCUGGCCUGGAAAAUCUAGUGAAUCCAAGCUACAAGAUUGCUGGCUAGCCAAAAGCCUUCGUCUACUUAGGUGCCCUCAUAAGGUCAUUUCAACAAAUUUCUUCGAGGAUUCCUUCUGUUAAUGUCUUCCAUUUGCUAGUGUAAGUUAAUACAAGGCAACCAUUUAUAAGUCCAUCAUCUCUAGAGAAUUGUACCAUUUUCAUUGACGGAAAUCAUGUCCAGGUUAUGCCUAUAUGUAACAGCUUUUUACGAUUUGUAUCAUUACAAAAAACAUUUCAUCAGCAGAUUUUUAUUUUUUUCGAUACAAGCAGAAAUAAUUUUCUUUAUUGAUUUCCAGAUGUUGUGGUUACAUAUAUUGCACUACCAAAACGGAUCUCGCAUAUGGAACCAACCUUCAAUGCAAUUGAUUCAUGUAUUUGUUAGCCUCUGGUUCAAAGUUCAUUUUUAAUGACAGAAUAGAGACGUAGAGAUCCACUGAAAUUGAAAGUUUGAAACCAUUUGCCGAUCAAAGGGAUGGAUUAGUGCAUUGUGCGAGAGCCAGACAUGUAAAGCUCUUAGUCUGUUAGUCAUAAUCAGAAGAACAUCCUCGUGAUCCUAUUAAUUCAUGUAUGGAAGCUCCGCUAAAUGGUCAAUUUACUCUUAAGUAAACAUCUUGUGAAAUUACAUGCAUUUCCAUAGAUUGAUAGACAGGAGAUUAACUUAACAAAAAGAAAGAAAAGCUUUACAAAUCUAUAGUCCAACAAAGCAACAGAUAGUGCAGAGCUCCUCUUAGCCUACAGCCUCCACAAUUUGUAUUCACUUGACUCUUCUUAAUACUCAGAUCUAUCCAAUUCAAUAAUUUGCAGAAUAAUUCCACGCCCCAUAACCUCUCUUGCACCACAAUGAAGGAGAAGAUCUUUCAGGGUCCUCGGUACCUGCGGAAGCAGAGACAACCCUGAGGAUGAUCAUGAGGGAGCAUACCUCCACCUUUAGUUGUGUCGACUGCCUCCAACAUUACUACCACCUCAUCCAUCUCGGGCCGCUUGUCAGGGUUAGCAUCCCAACAUCGCUUCAUAACAUUCGCAAGAGCGCUUGGGCAACAACGAGGUAUCUCGGGCCUCAGAUUCUGUAGUUCCAUAUAGAAGUGUGAGAUCUAUUUUAGCUUUGGACUUAUAAUAAUGACUCAUUAGAACGAUGUUACUAUAAGUGGCUACGAGUUGAUAAUCAUUCAAAAAGGUGUUCAAAGUUUUCAUGCAUCAGUUAAAUCUCAACUAGUAUAAAAUAUCUACCUGGCGGACAACAGCUGAUGUCACCUCCGAGAAACUAAGAUCAGGAUACGGCAUGUCGCAGCAGUAUAUUUCCCACAAGCAUAUGCCAAAACUGUACACAUCGCAUUUCCUAUUAUAUGGGUUGCCAUUGAGAACCUGCCCCAACCCAAGUCAAUGACAACAAAUCAGAAACAGAAGUGUUGAGGAUUUGAAGGAAACUAUUUUUUGAAUGUAACAUAUUAUCUGCAAAGGAGCUUAUUGAUCAAUAAAUGAAUGUGAAGCACUGAAAUCUGAAUCGAGCAACUAUGAGUUUUGGAAUGAAGAGCCAUGAAUCAUGAGAGAUGAAACAAAAAAUGCAGCAAGCGAAUUUUCAAGUGCCUGGUUACAUGCUAUACCCAUAAAUAUGAGAGGGGCAAACUCCCCACACAAUCUAGCAUGUAUACAUGAGAUGCAUGAUAGAGUGCUGAGGUUCAUGGAAAAUUUCAUAAUAAAGUUGAUCUAAGUAACAUACCUCAGGAGCCAUGUAACCAAGGGUUCCAGUCUCGCCUGUCAUGUCAUUAGGAUUUGAGGCCUCCACACGAGCAACCCCAAAGUCAGCUAUUUUCACAGUACGUGUCUUGUCCAGAAGCAUGUUUUCUGUUUUAACAUCUCUGUGAACAAUCUUCUGUGAAUGAAGAUAGCCUAAACUGCAGAAAUAGAAAGAAUGGCCGAAUGAGUUAAUAAUAUAAUAGCAAAUCAGUAACUGAUAUACAGCAGCCGAUAAAUGGAAGAUUCUAACUAAACCCAAAGUCCAGAGAAGGAAACAUAUAAUAUAUAGAUAGAGUCUGCGAAUAUAACCCUCGUGCAAGAUCUAGUGCCAGUUGGACAACUACUUUGAAAGCCAACUUCUUUCUGCGGUUCUUUAUGAGGUAAGAUUUCAGUGCACCACCAGGACAAUACUCGACAACAACACAACAAACAUUACUUGGCAUGCCAACCUGGCCAUUGUCUGUUUGUAUGUUGAGCUCUGAUGUUCCCAUUGUCGCUCCUAUAAACUGCAAAUAAUUGGGCAUGAAUUCACUAGCAAUGUCAGCAUAAGCAUCCCAAUUCGUAUUAUAAGAAUCAACCCCCCGCAAGUUUGUAGGUGCUGGACCCAUUUUGAGAACUAAGAUCCACAUUUAAAUUUCAUCUUGUUUCAACACAUCUUUAGCCAUCUAAUAUUAUGGAGAACGACAACAGGAAAAUAAAAUUUCAUCAUACUGAGGCCUAACUAAGUGUGAACAACAAUAACUUUAUGAAAGUUUCCCGAUUAUGACUUUUCAACUGAGUGCAGCAUUAAAGCUUGCAUUGUUUGAGAGUGAAGACAUGGAAACAUUACCUUGGUUACAUUAGGAUGAUCAAGCUUAUGCCAGACAGCAACUUCUUGAGUAAAAGCUGCUCUUAGAGAAGCUAUUUCAGCAUCAGAUCUAUGGCCCUCUUCUCCCCAAUCCAGAAGUUUAACUGAGAUUUGAAAGAAAUAAACUUCCAGUUAAAACAUAUAGUUCUAUGAUACAGGCCUACUUAUGAACCCACCAAAAGAACAGCUCUCAAUUUCUAAAACAACCGCAUUUCAACAAUCAAUAAAUAAAAAAUGGUGCAUAACGCUGAAGCUGAUGUGACAGUUACCAUAUAAAACAUCAACCAUUCAUGCAAACAUAGUUAUAAUAUAGCUUUCCCAGCAGACCUGGACUAUUAACUGGUGUUUUGGGUAUAAUCACUUGAAACAACAGUUUUCUGAGUUAUUAAGAUGACAAUUUAUUCGACGGUUAAGUAAAUAGACACUGCGGUAAGCCAAAAUCUUUUAUGCAACUGGUUUCAAGUCUCCAACUUUUUGUCUCCACAGACUGGUGUAUACCAAGUGCACAUCUAUAACAAAUAGACAAAGUGCAAUUAAUACAACCAACUGCCCAGUGUUCCCAGUCCGUGAAUCACGGACCUGGUGAGGCAAAGGGUCUAUCACAAGCCAGCCACUCUAUGAUGAGUGAGAAAAGCACAAAAGAACAUUUUCCCUUUUAGUUCUAGACAAUUAAAGUCAGAUAUAUGCAGAAGAAGAAGGAAGAAAGACACAAUCUUUGCAAGUGUUCAACACUUCCCACAUCAAAGAACAGAGAACAUAACUAACAAGCACUACUAAAUGCAGUCCAACCCUUCACCAACCAACCUUGAAGCUUAUAUGAUUACCAAAUAAUAGCCUUUGUUGGAUCAAGAAAGACUCCAAUUCAAGAGGACUUAUAAGUCAUUUACCACCCCAAAAGACAAUAAACUCUAAUUCCUCUAGAGAAAAAUGCUUCAAAAACAGCUAUUAGACAAAACAAGAAAUUUCAAUCUCAAAGACUCCAUCAAAGAAAUUGCUAAAAGCUUGAAACUUCAUCACAAAUGACACCUCUAGAAAACAAAGGCUGAUAUAUGCAUGCAAACCAUUCAUCAUCAAAACCACAUAGCUUUCGCAAGAAAGAUCGAAAAUGGGUGCCAACAAAGUUCAUGCUUUACACUCCAGAAAUAAUGAAAAGAGUGGAAACUACUCAAACUAAUCAACUUUACCGGCGACGUCUAAGCCGUCGUAAAUGCCGCGGUGGACGGUGCCGAAAGUGCCUCUGGCUAUAGCUCCCUUGACGGUGAGCUUGGAAGGAUCAAUCUCCCACUCCUGCCUCCUGGUGGGCCCCACCGUCACCCUCCUAGCUGCUUCUGUUUCCCGUUCUUGUUCCUGUUCUUGCUCUUCUCUGUUCUUGUUCUUCUCCAUAGUCCAAGCCCUGCCCAGAUGCUUCUGCAGCUGCUCGUCCAAGCUCUUCAGAUCUAUCUGGUCCGCCCUCACAUACGCACCUCCGCCUCCUCCGCCGCCGGUGUCGUUCUUCUCCUUCAUUUUUGUUUCAGGCUAUUGAUAUCCAAACACAGAGACAGACCCUUAUACUUGAAAGGGUUUCUGUUUUGGUUUGUUUUAUGUGUGUUCUGUGGAGACUAGAGAGAAGUGUGUCUGUAUACUUGUGUCGUGCUUCUGUCUAUUAAUGGUGUCACCGAGACUAGAUGAAGAAGUAGUAGAAAUACUACUACGAGUCUACAACUGCUCUGCUCUGGUUCUCUCACUAUCUUCCAUGUGGGCACAUGGAUUUUGCCUGAAGACGACGUGUGUUUCUGAUCCACCUCACUCUCUCCUCUCUCNNNNNNNNNNNNNNNNNNNNUCUCUCUCUCUCUCUCUCUCUCUCUCUCUCUCUCUCUCCAUCUCCAUUAUUAUUGUUUUCACAUUUUGACAGUCAACAUGCAUUUCUUUCUUCUUCACUUUUUAUUUUUCAUAUAUAUAUAUAUAAAUAGAAAUAAAUAUAAAGAUUUUCUACCGUUUUCGAUUAUGACCUCUACAAUAUACAUGUAUAAAAUGAGAGAUGUGCUAUUCUUGCUAGAGAACACGAGAGUUGGAUAUAUUUGAAAAAAGAAAAGUCUAGCCUGUUCUGGUAUGAUUUUAGCAGAAUGUGUUUGUAUUAUAAUCGAUCAUCACAAUUUGUACCCUUAUAACAAUUAUUCUGUUUUCUUCAAAAUUUUCUACGUAUGAUAAAUUAUAGAUAUUUAAAAUAAUGAGAUGAUAAUGUAAUAGAUAUAUAUUUUCUGGGGUGAUUGUGUUACUCACUUUUUGGUCAACAUACAAGUCACAUGGUGGAUAUAAUACCACAAUGAUAUUAUUUCUUAUUUGAUGACUGCAAACCCAUUUUCAGAAAUACCAGCUACUUAUUCUGCUUCUCCAUUUUUAUACAAAAAGCUUAGAGAACAAGAAUCCUCAAUCCCAAAAAUAAAAUAUUACCUCCCUGUCCUCCCAAGUCCCAACUCUCAGAAUCAGUUACGGUUGUUACGGUUGGCAGAGAUAUUUAUGGUCAAAAGUGGAAACCAUGGUUGGCAUGGAAGAAAAUAGAACCUGGGUCGAGCUAGUGGUCAAUGUUUUGUCUAUACCAAUUCGGGUAUGUUCGGUUUCACGACUGAGCAACAUAUCUGGCUCAUAUAAGAAAGGUUCCAUUUUUGGGUGCGUAGUUUCAAAUCUAACAAAGGAAACAUGAUCCCUCAAGGUUUUAGCUUCUUUGCUGUGACUGACCCCAAAAGUAGUAAAGCUAUAUGCAAUGGCAAUCAAUCAGGAAAAUGCACAAUGCUUGAUUCUAGUUCAUCCUCAGGUUCAAUCAGUAAUAGUUUCACUUGAUAUUGCGAUAUCCUGAGCUCAACAUCAACAAUGCGCUUAACAGAAUCGGAUACUCACGGUAAGAUUUCACAAAAUGAAGCGCUUUCGAAGUAUGAACAAGAAGAGUAUUGAGUUGUUACAAACAAAAGAUAUUUCAUCCUUUAUCUGUAAUACAGUUCAGUGCUAGCUUUCCAAUAGAUCAGUAGCCGGUUGCUAUUGUUGAACAUAACAUCACCAUGCAUGUGAAGCCCUACACUUUUUGACUUAAAUGAGCAUCAAAAGGAGAGAUCACUGGUAAUAUAGUCACGAGGAGGCAAGAGAAGGAUAAUAGAUUGAAUGACCCGUGAUUCCAGGUCCAAAUUCAUCUUUACCAGAUGGCCACUGUGAGUUACAACUAUUUUCAGACUACAUUUCAUGCCGACAUGAACAUGUUUGUCCAGGAAAUAGAGCAUCAACUAAGGAUCCGAAUCCUUUGUAACAGGGACCAAAAGCCCUUUCACUUCAUUGUGGCAUAAAUAAGUUUACAAAAUCGCGCCUUGUAACCAAAACAUACUUGCGCCUUUGGGGGUAUAAUCCCAUAUCCAGAGUUAGGGACUGGUCAUCAUCUAUACAAAAUAUAUAUAUCUAACCUGGUCGAGUAAUAUUUGUCAUGAUAAGUUGUGAGAAAAGAAAUAUCAUCCAACCAACAAUGCUUCCAUGGUUAGAAACAACGAGGGCGUUUCUUUUUCUCUGGAGUGGGACAUACUUGUGCCUUGAUCCCAUAUGUUUUCAGCUGGAAGUUUUCAAAAGCCUCAGAGAUUGGCCCAACCUGUACAUUAUAUUGAGAUUUGUCACUGGAAGGAAACAAUAGUGAAAAGAAACUGAUCAAAUUGAGGCAACAUAUAAAUUGAUAUACCAGCUCAGGCUUUUUCGAAUAGACCCUCACUAUCAAAUCUUGAUACGAUGUAGGAAGCAAGUGACUAAUGCGAUCAUCACGUAUUGGGAAUUUCUCCUUACUUUCAUAGUCCUGAACAGAAAUCAAACUUGAUUUGAUGAUGCAAAGAAACGUACAACUUAUUCAAACCACCUAUGUGCUUCCUACAGCUAUCAGUUCCAUAAAACUCGGAACUCAGAAGUAGUUCAUUUUUACUCAGUAAAGGUAAAAUACAUCCAAUAGUACAAAAAAGAUAAAAUAAACUCAGAAGGGUAAGUGGGGUACCUGGAAAAAGCUGAUACUGGAAGAGAUGCAUGCAGAAACAGGAGAGAAGAAGAGUUAAAUGAUGAACACCAAAGUGCAGAACAAAUAGCUUGUUAAAGAAUAUCAGGUUACCUUUGAAGGGGAUUUUGACUUCCACGAGUCAAAUCAAUCUUGAUGUUGGUAACAGCAACAUCCUCCUCUUUCAAUAUAACACCUCCAUUUUUCUGUUACAAAAGUAAGAGGAGAUAAAGGAAAAACAGCAAUGAAACGAUAGCGGCCUGUUGUAAUUAAGCAAGCUUAAGUUGGAACCUGAGAACAAACAAUAUCUUGAGCAGUGACUUUUUUGAAAUGUUCCAUUUGCUCCUUGGGUACGGCAUACUCAUUGCAGAACUGCCAUCAAGUUAUGUCAACCCACAAAAAGUUAAGACCUAUGAUUUUUCAGUGUACAGGAAAGAAUUAAACAGAGAAUUUUAAUCAGCUAACCUGAUAGAGAUUUCUCCUCCUAAUGCGCAGGAUUAAGUCCCUAGCUUCCUUCAGCUCUUCAUUUGGAGCUGUCUCAAUAGUUUUGAUUAUUGAGUCAUCUAACUGCAUUUGAACAACUCCAAGUCAGAAUUCUAUGUGAAAGCACUGAACUAUACCUAAAAUAAAACUUAGUUUUUGGACUCUUGAAACCUUCCAAUAUUCAGCUGGAUCCUCAAUGUGAGAUGAUAUCUGUAGAUAAUCAUUUGCUUUCACCAGGGCAUCCACCACCAUAAGCUCUAUGGCCUACAAAUGGUAAAAUGUCAGAAAAUUUUGAAAUCCUAAUAACUUCAAACAAGGUCAAUAAAAGAAAUAGACUGCAAAAACAAAAAUGGGAGAUGUAUGGGAGCUAAAGAGAAACAUAUGAGUGAAGAACUCUGUUUUAUACCUUUACUUUUGGAUGUGUAUAAACUGUUCGAUACAAAUCCGCUCGAGUGACAAAUAAUUUGUGGACAGUGAGAUCUAGAAUAUUGAGCAACCAUCAGCAGCAGAAAAGGGAAGUAUAAUAUAAAUGUAAUUAAUUUGGCAAACCACUUACACUCCUUAGCACGGUAGCAGAUCUCACCAUCCAAAACACGCAUUGUUUCCAUUAAUCUGCAAGAGCAGUAAAAUAUAUGAAGCUAGAGAAGAUUGUCCCUAUAUUACUUUACAUUCAGUUGAUAUUACACCAAUAGUAGAAAAGUUUAACUUUAGUUCAUCCAACCUUUUAAACUCAAAGUUGCAUCCAAGCCCACAAGCUCUGCUGUCACGGACAAUAUAAUCAAACCUGUGAAUCAUUAAUAUAUCCAUAGCAUUAGAUUCCAUGAAGAAAGACACAUAAACCGACAUAAAUUAGAGUUCAGAUGAGCAAUACAAGGGAUGAAACCUUCAACAGUCACUUACUUGUCCACAUCAAUACCAUUACGGCCAUUUGCCACAAUUUCAUACAGAAAAGGCUUCUCCCUGGAUGUCUACAUCAAAUAAAACAAUAAGAGACAAAUGUUACAGACAUGAUGACAAAGAGUUGCAUCAAAUGAGCAAAAUCACACUAAUACUUAUUUCGACACAUCUUACUAUUGGCAUAGCAGUUCCAGAAGCAAGUAUCAUCUCCUGCAGAGGGAAAACAAAAAUCAUUGAUUUCGAAAAAGUAAAUCUAAGUUUCCUUGUCAUAGACUCAUAAGCAGACUUUUCAAUUAAACAUCCUUGUGUAUUAAGUUUUAAAAAUCACAAAGAACUUCAAUAAUAUAUUCUAUUAUUAAUGAUUCCUCAGUUUGGGGGCAUUAAUUUACAUACCUUAACUCUUUUAAUCAUCUCAGGGUCAAUAUCAAUAUGAUGCUGAUUAACAAUGUGGUCAAUCAUCUUAACUGACAUAUCCUCAUGAGACCUAGAACAACAGAAAGUACAUGUAUGAGAUUCAACAAACAAAAAUUUGUUUCACAAAACCACAAAGACAUAUAAUGCUAAAGCACGUCCCAAUGACAGGUUAGUUUUCCUCUUGUCAUUUUAUGAUGAGAAACAGCACAACAGAACUUUCCCAUAUAGGAUGACAGUGUAUAACAUACCAAUGGCAGCCACUCUGAACCCGUGGAAGAAACUCGCGUUCAAACAAGUGACUGAAAGGUCCAUGACCAACAUCAUGCAAUAGACCUACAAUUUAAGUGAACAACAAUUAUCAGAUGACUAAAAAACAGUGGACACAACAUUUAGAAAACAGCUGUAUUCACCUGCAAUUUUUACCGUCUGGAGAUCAAAGCGGUCGAUAUCCAGUUCAAGACCCUGUAAACACACAAACAUAUAUAAGACUUUAAAGAAAGUUCUGGCAUUCUGUAAUUCUUGUUUCACAGUACCCAAGUAACAUAAAGUACAGCUUCAUACCUGAUAAUUUUUGAGCCCCUGAACAGCUUCACCAGCAAGCCAAUAGACACCGAGCGAAUGCUCAAACCGGGAAUGCACAGCACCAGGAAAAACUGAGUUCGUCACUCCUGACACAUUUCAAAACAUACAUGUAACUGAUGUAAGCACAUAGCAAGUUCAAUGCAAUGACAUAGAAAUCUUCAAUAAUCACACGAAGCCAACACACUGUAUUUGGUAGAAGUUCAUAUACAACUUAAAUACUUAACAAUCCUAAUCAAAAACAUCCUGAAGCCAUAUGCACAUCACAAUUGUGCAUGCCGCGCAUACUUGGAACAACAACAAAUAUGCCAGUGAACAGAACUUGUAGACAUUAACUACACGAGCACUAACUGUUCAUCAAAAACACUUGGACACACGACAUAUACGAUAACAGACCAAGGAAACGGCAUAAAACUCACCGAGUUGUUUCAGGUCUCUAAGCCUGCAAAAUCGGACAAGCCAAAGCAGAAAAUUGAGACCGUUAGCAAAUGGCAACACACCACAACAAUGUCAUCAAACCAAUACAAAAAGAACCCGUAUUUAUUGAUACAAAAACUCACCUCUGAAACUCCUCAGUAUCAAUAAAUUUCAAAGAAAGCUGCACCCACAAAUCAAAAAAGAAAAGUACAUAACUUUGACAAUUGCCAACCAUUAAAAAUUCCCAAAGUUUCAAUCUUUUCCAAACCAACCAAGUCAAAAACCACUGUACUAUAAAAACCCAUAUCUAAAUUAACAAAGCUAUAAACUUUGUUCACAAAAUCUCAAUGGGGUGAAAUAGAAGGAGUACCGGAUCGAGAUAAAUGUUGCCGUGGACAUUGUCGUGGACGUGCUUGGAGAACCGGAGGUCUUGGCCGGAACAGUAUAUCGGAGACAACAAAACGCCGUCGUUGUUGUAAGCCCCCAUUGCUAGUGGGUGAAGAGAACAAGGUCAGAGAUGAAACACACAACAACAACAACAACAACAAUAGUAAAGGAAAGACAGUGAUUAAGAUUAGAGAGAGACAUAACUCACCGGUUCCAAAAAAAAUGGAAAGACAGAAGAAGUUGUGCCGCCAAAAGCAAGAGGUUGUUAAUUGAUGACAGAGAAUAUUGGUUUUUACUUGAUUUGAUUUAUUUAUUACCGCUGGUCCUCUCUCUAGGGCUUUUGGUUUGACGCAGGUUGUUGCAGUGAAGGAGAGAAAGAGAGAGAGAAAGAGAGAGAGUUGUAGAGGGAGAGUCAAAGGAGCAUGUGUAAAAAUUACAUCGUCGUGUCCUGCACUAACACUUUCUAGUUUGUACAAGCAUGUGUAAAUAUCCUGUAUCAUAAGCCCUACACGUGCAAAUAACUCACCCCACCACCAAUUUUUCACACACCUUUUCAAUUCUAGAUUUUUUGUAACAACGGAUUCAAUGUGAUUGAAUUAUGUAACAACGGAUUCAAGGUGAUUGAAUCAUGUUUUCAUUGUGUAACAGUUAGUAACAUUCGCAAUGGAAUUUGUUUUCGGAAUUUAUGGCAAUUCAAGUGAUAGUCUAAUUUCCAGUGUAUAAAUAGCAACAUUUUCUCUUGUUCUAAACACACCAGCUCAGUUUAAAUUCUCAAUAUUUGUAAUUAAUUUUUAUUUAAUAAAAAAAUAAUAUACUUAAUAUUAUCCAGCGGUCUAUUCUUGUUUAGUGUAAGUACACAUCUGGUGUUGUAUUCUCGUUAAAAUAUAUAAUUAUUAGGGUAUACAUAUUGAAUCUAAUCCAUGAUAAAAUAAACAUCUUGAUAAAAUAUUCUGACACAAAUUGGUAUGUAUAUCAAUUUUGGUUCAGUUUGAACUAACAUUUUAUGCAGAUCCUUUACAUGCUCGUAUGUGUUCAGUCUAUGUUUAUAUUUCUCAUAUGAAUAAUAUGACUGACCAACAGCAUCAUGUGUUCUUAUUGUAUUGUGUUGUCUUAAGUUUAAUGGAGCUUAUUUUGUGUUCGUGUCAUAUAAUACUAACGUCAGAUUUAAAAGGGACGAUAUAAUAUUUACAAAGUUUCAUAGAGGCUUAAAAUGAAAAUGUCAGAUUUGAACUCUUCAUUCCACAAUUUACACACUCAUUAUUUUUCCGUAAAUCUUGAAAAUGAAGCAGAGUGAAUGUAGAUUGUAAAAUGGGACGGCAUCUCCCAAGCUGGAUAAGAUAACGUAUAUAAACGAUAGGCCAAUCAAUGAUCGACGAGAUUACCUUCCACUUUUGCAGCACAACCAUGGAGGUUGUAGCAUCCACACUUCCCUCUUCAUCUCUCAAACUCAAACCCAACCCCACUCCCCAAAUCUUCGUCACCAAAAGCCAUCUCUGCAACACCACCGGCAAACCCACCUCACCUUCUCUGCUUUACAUUGGCCAAAUCUAUGGCGACACUAGCAAACCCAACAGGUCCUCCACUGGCUUCUUCUCCGUCAAAGCUUACGUCGACAACCCCAACUCCAUCUCCAGCUUCGCCAGCAAAGUCAUCGGCUCUCUUCCCGUAGUUGGAUUAAUAGCUCGCAUUCUAAGCGAUGAGGGAGGCAUUGGUGGUGAGAUUAUUGACUUUGCUGAGUUUCGGAGAAGGGUUGGGAAGAAGUGCACCGUUACUGACUCUAGAGCUUUUUAUGAGUUCCAAGAACGACGAGGCCGGGUAAGUAUGAAGAUGAAACUCUUCUUGUUAUGCUUGUAUGAAAAUGUGAGGGCUUAAAGUUUGAGUGUUGAAAUGUGGUGGCUGCAGGCAGGGGAUCCUCUGUAUGUGCUAAUGUGCUGCUAUGUAGCUGCGGUUGGCGCUGGUCUUCUCAAGUCUGAAGAGAUUCUAGAAGGCGCCGCGAGGCUGAGGGUUUCGAAUGAUAUUGAGUUUGAGGAGCAAAAUUUCAUUGCCUUGAUGAAUGAGGCAAAAGAGGUUAGUUAGUUAUGUCACUUGUGUGCAUUUUAUUUGAGUUGAGCUUAGGUACUUGUUAUGGUGCAAUGGUUUAGUUGUUUGUUACUGAAAUUGAUGUAUGAUUGUAUGUAGAGAAGGGCAAAGAUAAAGGCUGAGACACAAGUUAUUCCAAUGGAGAAUCGGGUUGAGAAAGCGCUUGAGGCGAUUUACAUAUGUUGCUUCGGGAGGGAUCCAGUAGAAGAGCAAGAUGAGAAUCUGCUAAAUGUGAUGCUCAAGGCUGUGUUUCCAUCCGUUGAAAAGUCCGAGAUACAGCGGAUUAUCAAAGGAAAGGCACAGAAGGUAGCUGAAGGCGGUGAUGAUGGCAGAUUCCCGGAGCCAAGGCCCUUGUCGAAAGAGGCUGUUAAGAUGCAAAUGAAGGACCUCGAGUUCCUCCAACAAAAUAGAGACAACUGAACGUAGUAAGCGAAUUCUAGAAUGAGAAACUGCAGCAUUUUCGCUACAGAAUCUCACUAAAAUAGAACGAAAUUGGUCUCAGAAAUUGUAUUAUCCAUGAUUGAACAAAACAAAGAGUGCUCUUUAUUAUGGAUUUGCCUGUUUUAUUUGUAUUUUUGAACCAUAGUGACACAGGUACAUUAUUAGCAAUAAGAAUAGAGCAGAAACCAAAUAGCAAUAAGAAUUGAGCAGAAACUCGCUUGCAUAUUAGCUGUAACUCCUGUAAGCAUAAUAUUAUCUCAUUACAAUGAGAAAGUUAAAACCAAGCAAGCUCCCCUACCCUCUUACAAUACGUGAAUGGCAUACUAACUGAGCAGCAUGCUGGAGUUAAAACAAUCAAGCAGCAUAAACAGCCUAGCUCCCUUGUAAAUUAGACUCCCCUAGAAAUAGCUUCAACAUUUCUGCUAAGCUUUACAUGUUCUUAGGCAUCAUUUUACGACCAAUCCAGAAAACUGAACCUUUAAUGUUUCCAAACCUUUAAGAAUUGCAAGGUAUGUGAAGGCACCUUCAUCUAAACGUUACUACUUAUCGACAACACUAACCAGUUCAUAUUCAACCGAAGACAUAUUGUUAUCUUCCUUGACAUUGAAGCUACCCGGUUCGGCCACUUCUACUCGACCCCACUUGUCCACAGCAAGCCUCAUAGAUCCCUUGAACAUGUCAAUUUUCGCAUUCCUCAAAAUCACGGUAGCACCAGGGUUCAUCAUGUCCACUGUCACAUACCAAAGUUCAUGUUACAGUAUGAACAAAACUCAACCAAAAGAUGCAUUCCAACCUCAAAAAGUUGCUUGUGAUUCAAGAAACCCAAUGCAUCAACAAUUUCUCUAUCAUUUUAUACAUAAUUGAUCAAAAUGCAGAAAACAAAAAUGGAUACCUUGUUCAUUUCUAGCGGUGAAAACGAUGGUUCCGGUUUCGUCUCCAACCAAGCAUUCAGCAAUUUUCAUCUGACGAACUUGGAUCCCAUCAGGACGGGCCUUCUGCAACACCAUCUUCGAACUUACCACUUUUACAAUCAGAGUGUGCCCCUUGGUGUCCGGCUGCAGCUGCAUAACCUUUUUAAAAACAGGUUUCCUCUUUUCUGGUUUUGUAUCCGCCAUUUCUAACCAAACUGUUACAUAGACAACAAAAUACAAACACAUAAACAAAUGCAAUAUCAGAUCACCCUUUACAUGGUCUCAUUUAGUACGCAGAUCACCACCAAUGUUAAUGAACAAAACAAAGAAAGAUAGUCGAUGCUACAAGCUUUGGAAAUUACCUUUUACUGAGAGAGAGAUGACAAAUUGUUAUUGCAGAUUCAGAGAUAGAUACAGAUAGAAAUGGAUGCCAAGUUGUGGCCUAUGUUUCACACUAACAUGCAGUGGUGGAAUAUAAUGAGAAUUUGGUGAUCGACGAAAUCGCCUCUUGAAACGGAAGUUUAAUGGACGAAGGGUCGUUGAUCUUCCACAUUUUAUGAACAAAUCUCAUCCCUACACCUCUCCAAAACAACUGCACUUCCGGUCCAGAAUUGCAUCAGUCAUGACUUGAAAUUUGUUCUCCACGUUUUAUUCAUUAUUUACUUGAAAUUUUAGGUGUUAAAUGGCCAUUUUGUUAAGUGACAGUCCUUUGUUCCAUGUUAUGCAGAAAAUCCAAUCUCAGAUUUGGCUUGAUGAAAUUAUGGAAAUUAGGUAACCACUAACAAGAUCUUAUUAUUGACAAGGGAAGUUUUCCAGGCACAGCAUAUUCCAAGUUAAGAGUCUCACAUGGACAUGGUACAGAGAGAGAGAGAGAGAGAUUAGGUAACCACUAACAAGUUCUUGUUAUUGACAAGGGAAGAUUUCCAGGCACAGCAUAUUCCAAGUUAAGAGUCUCACAUAGACAUGGUACACACACACACACACACACAGAGAGAGAGAGAGAGAGAGAGAGAGAGAGAGAGAGAGAGAGAGAGAGAGAGAGAGAGAGAGAGAGAGAGAGAGAGAGAGAGAGAGAGAGAGAGUANNNNNNNNNNNNNNNNNNNN